AGUGAACGCUGGCGGUAGGCCUAACACAUGCAAGUCGAACGGCAGCACAGUAAGAGCUUGCUCUUACGGGUGGCGAGUGGCGGACGGGUGAGGAAUACAUCGGAAUCUACUUUUUCGUGGGGGAUAACGUAGGGAAACUUACGCUAAUACCGCAUACGACCUACGGGUGAAAGCAGGGGAUCUUCGGAACUUGCGCGAUUGAAUGAGCCGAUGUCGGAUUAGCUGGUUGGCGGGGUAAAGGCCCACCAAGGCGACGAUCCGUAGCUGGUCUGAGAGGAUGAUCAGCCACACUAGAACUGAGACACGGUCCAGACUCCUACGGGAGGCAGCAGUGGGGAAUAUUGGACAAUGGGCGCAAGCCUGAUCCAGCCAUACCGCGUGGGUGAAGAAGGCCUUCGGGUUGUAAAGCCCUUUUGUUGGGAAAGAAAAGCAGCAGGUUAAUACCCCGCUGUUCUGACGGUACCCAAAGAAUAAGCACCGGCUAACUUCGUG
rnacentral:rRNA from 1 species